rnacentral:rRNA from 1 species
GACGAACGCUGGCGGCGUGCUUAACACAUGCAAGUCGAACGGAAAGGCCCUGCUUUUGUGGGGUGCUCGAGUGGCGAACGGGUGAGUAACACGUGAGUAACCUGCCCUUGACUUUGGGAUAACUUCAGGAAACUGGGGCUAAUACCGGAUAGGAGCUCCUGCUGCAUGGUGGGGGUUGGAAAGUUUCGGCGGUUGGGGAUGGACUCGCGGCUUAUCAGCUUGUUGGUGGGGUAGUGGCUUACCAAGGCUUUGACGGGUAGCCGGCCUGAGAGGGUGACCGGCCACAUUGGGACUGGGAUACGGCCCAGACUCCUACGGGGGGAAGCAGUGGGGAAUUUUGCAAAAGGGGCGGAAGCCUGAUGCAGCAACGCCGCGGGGGGGAUGACGGCCUUCGGGUUGUAAACCGCUUUCGCCUGUGACGAAGCGGGGGUGACGGUAAUGGGUAAAGAAGCACCGGCUAACUACGU